rnacentral:lncRNA from 1 species
UUAUUUUUUCUUCUCUUUUUUUUUUUGAGAGAUAGAUAGUAUAUUACCAAUUUCGUUUUUUUUUUAAAAAAAGAAAUUAACUAUAAAUACAAAUCAACUAGAAUUCGAACUUGGGAUCUCGACAUCAAAUUCUUUACCAAUUCUUUACCAUUUAUGCCAGAAACGAUCGAUACUUUUGAUCUUUUUGAAAAUACCACAUCAUGAGUUAUAACUUCUUUUCUUUUCUUUUAGAGCGCAUUAGGUGAUGAGAGCAAAUUUUCGAUAGCUUUAUCUAAGCAUCUUAUUUUACUUGGUCCUUCAAAAUUUUCAUCCAAACUCUUUUCCUUUUAUAAAACAAUUAUGUAAUAGAAAACGACAAAGAAAUAAUUUUCGCCCAAACUCUUUUUCUUUUUCAUUUUUUUCAAGAGGCCUCGGAUGCUUCACUCCUAUAGUCUAAUUCACUUCUUCUAUGAAUGAAAUGGAUAACGUACUAUCUUUUUCUCUCAAAAAAAAAAAAACAUCUAAGAUACACACUAUCAUUUUCAUACACUCCAGUCGUUAUCAAA